ACGCUGGCGGCGUGCUCAACACAUGCAAGUCGAACGGAAAGGCCCUGCUUUUGUGGGGUGCUCGAGUGGCGAACGGGUGAGUAACACGUGAGUAACCUGCCCUUGACUUUGGGAUAACUUCAGGAAACUGGGGCUAAUACCGGAUAGGAGCUCCUGCUGCAUGGUGGGGGUUGGAAAGUUUCGGCGGUUGGGGAUGGACUCGCGGCUUAUCAGCUUGUUGGUGGGGUAGUGGCUUACCAAGGCUUUGACGGGUAGCCGGCCUGAGAGGGUGACCGGCCACAUUGGGACUGAGAUACGGCCCAGACUCCUACGGGAGGCAGCAGUGGGGAAUAUUGCACAAUGGGCGGAAGCCUGAUGCAGCAACGCCGCGUGCGGGAUGACGGCCUUCGGGUUGUAAACCGCUUUCGCCUGUGACGAAGCGUGAGUGACGGUAAUGGGUAAAGAAGCACCGGCUAACUACGUGCCAGCAGCCGCGGUGAUACGUAGGGUGCGAGCGUUGUCCGGAUUUAUUGGGCGUAAAGGGCUCGUAGGUGGUUGAUCGCGUCGGAAGUGUAAUCUUGGGGCUUAACCCUGAGCGUGCUUUCGAUACGGGUUGACUUGAGGAAGGUAGGGGAGAAUGGAAUUCCUGGUGGAGCGGUGGAAUGUGCAGAUAUCAGGAGGAACACCAGUGGCGAAGGCGGUUCUCUGGGCCUUUCCUGACGCUGAGGAGCGAAAGCGUGGGGAGCGAACAGGCUUAGAUACCCUGGUAGUCCACGCUGUAAACGGUGGGUACUAGGUGUGGGGUCCAUUCCACGGGUUCCGUGCCGUAGCUAACGCUUUAAGUACCCCGCCUGGGGAGUACGGCCGCAAGGCUAAAACUCAAAGGAAUUGACGGGGCCCCGCACAAGCGGCGGAGCAUGCGGAUUAAUUCGAUGCAACGCGUAGAACCUUACCUGGGUUUGACAUGGAUCGGGAGUGCUCAGAGAUGGGUGUGCCUCUUUUGGGGUCGGUUCACAGGUGGUGCAUGGCUGUCGUCAGCUCGUGCCGUGAGAUGUUGGGUUAAGUCCCGCAACGAGCGCAACCCUUGUUCACUGUUGCCAGCACGUUAUGGUGGGGACUCAGUGGAGACCGCCGGGGUCAACUCGGAGGAAGGUGGGGAUGACGUCAAGUCAUCAUGCCCCUUAUGUCCAGGGCUUCACGCAUGCUACAAUGGCUGGUACAGAGAGUGGCGAGCCUGUGAGGGUGAGCGAAUCUCGGAAAGCCGGUCUCAGUUCGGAUUGGGGUCUGCAACUCGACCUCAUGAAGUCGGAGUCGCUAGUAAUCGCAGAUCAGCAACGCUGCGGUGAAUACGUUCCCGGG
rnacentral:rRNA from 1 species